AGAACCGUACAUGGGAUGAUUGCCAAUUUUGUCAUCUGAUAGAAACCAACAGAGUUGAAACCCAAGCUAAGAUUCAAAAGCCCGAUGGAUAUCCCAUUUAAUAUGCCAAAUCCCAUCACAGCUCUUGCAUCAAAAGGCUUGUGUUCAAACAAUUUCAUCCAUAAAGCCACAUGAAGAGAACAAAAUGUGACCAGAAGAUGCCAGCUUGUUAAUGUUGUGGCAAAAGUGAAACCGAGAGUACUAAUGAGAGCCUUGUUGCAUAUCACAAUCGAAACCGACGAUACAACUGAUAAACUCAGAGCACCCAGAGUCCCCAGCUGGAACCUCUGGCUCUCACUCAUCUUCACUUUCUCUCUGUCUGUAUGUGGCUAUUCCCUUCUAUUCACUCCCUCCUCGAUCCGGAUCUAAUUCAGGUCAUGAGAUUCCUGGAUUGUUAAGUAGGAAGGAUGGAUUAAGAUGGAGAGAAAGAAAAUGAGAAAAUUUUGAGAAGGAAAUGACGAAAUUAAC
rnacentral:misc_RNA from 1 species